CCUACGGGAGGCAGCAGUGAGGAAUAUUGGUCAAUGGACGAGAGUCUGAACCAGCCAAGUAGCGUGAAGGAUGACUGCCCUAUGGGUUGUAAACUUCUUUUAUAAAGGCAUACAACGCGGCACGUGUGCCUUUUUGCAUGUACUUUAUUAAUAAGGAUCGGCUAACUCCGUGCCAGCAGCCGCGGUAAUACGGAGGAUCCGAGCGUUAUCCGGAUUUAUUGGGUUUAAAGGGAGCGUAGAUGGGUUGUUAAGUCAGUUGUGAAAGUUUGCGGCUCAACCGUAAAAUUGCAAUUGAUACUGGCAGUCGUGAGUACAGUUGAGGUAAGCGGAAUUCGUGGUGUAGCGGUGAAAUGCUUAGAUAUCACGAAGAACCCCGAUUGCGAAGGCAGCUUACUAAACUGUGACUGACAUUGAUGCUCGAAAGUGUGGGUAUCAAACAGGAUUAGAUACCCCUGUAGUC
rnacentral:rRNA from 1 species